rnacentral:rRNA from 1 species
GACGAACGCUGGCGGCGUGCUUAACACAUGCAAGUCGAACGCUGAAGCUCAGCUUUUGUUGGGUGGAUGAGUGGCGAACGGGUGAGUAACACGUGAGUAACCUGCCCCCUUCUUUGGGAUAACGCCCGGAAACGGGUGCUAAUACUGGAUAUUCACUGGUCUUCGCAUGGGGGUUGGUGGAAAGGGUUUUUCUGGUGGGGGAUGGGCUCGCGGCCUAUCAGCUUGUUGGUGGGGUGAUGGCCUACCAAGGCUUUGACGGGUAGACGGCCUGAGAGGGUGACCGGUCACAUUGGGACUGAGAUACGGCCCAGACUCCUACGGGAGGCAGCAGUGGGGAAUAUUGCACAAUGGGCGCAAGCCUGAUGCAGCGACGCCGCGUGAGGGAUGGAGACCUUCGGGUUGUGAACCUCGUUCGCUAAUGGUCAAGCCGCAACAAUGGUUGUGGUGAGGGUAGUGGGUAAAGAAGCGCCGGCUAACUACGUG